rnacentral:rRNA from 1 species
ACGGAAGGCAGCAGUGGGGAAUAUUGCACAAUGGGGGGAACCCUGAUGCAGCGACGCCGCGUGAAGGAAGAAGGUAUUCGUAUUGUAAACUUCUGUCGCAGAGGACGAUAAUGACGGUACUCUGUAAGAAAGCACCGGCUAACUACGUGCCAGCAGCCGCGGUAAAACGUAGGGUGCAAGCGUUGUCCGGAAUUACUGGGUGUAAAGGGAGCGCAGGCGGUUCUGCAAGUUGGAUGUCAAAUCUACGGGCUCAACCCGUACCCGCAUUCAAAACUGUAGAACUUGAGUGAAGUAGAGGUAGGCGGAAUUUCCGGUGUAGCGGUGGAAUGCGUAGAUAUCGGAAGGAACACCAGUGGCGAAGGCGGCUUUCUGGACUGUAACUGACGCUGAGGCACGAAAGCGUGGGGAGCAAACAGGAUUAGAUACCCUGGUA